GAGAAAUGUGUUCUCUGUCUGUAGAUUUAUUUUUGAUGUUAUAAUUUGUUGAGAUUUCUUGUUUAUUUUUAGAUGGGAUACAGCUGGACAAGAAAAGUUUAAAUGCAUUGCAUCUUCAUAUUACAGAGGAGCAAGAGGCAAAUUCUGCUUAUAAAUUGACAGAAAAUGAGGCUAUUAAAGUAGCAAACACAAUUAAUGCUGAAUAUUGGCCAGUAUCUUCAAAAACAGGU